rnacentral:rRNA from 1 species
AGAGUUUGAUCCUGGCUCAGGAUGAACGCUGGCGGCGUGCUUAACACAUGCAAGUCGAACGAUGAUCCCAGCUUGCUGGGGGAUUAGUGGCGAACGGGUGAGUAACACGUGAGUAACCUGCCCUUGACUCUGGGAUAAGCCUGGGAAACUGGGUCUAAUACCGGAUAUGACUGUCUGACGCAUGUCAGGUGGUGGAAAGCUUUUGUGGUUUUGGAUGGACUCGCGGCCUAUCAGCUUGUUGGUGGGGUAAUGGCCUACCAAGGCGACGACGGGUAGCCGGCCUGAGAGGGUGACCGGCCACACUGGGACUGAGACACGGCCCAGACUCCUACGGGAGGCAGCAGUGGGGAAUAUUGCACAAUGGGCGCAAGCCUGAUGCAGCGACGCCGCGUGAGGGAUGACGGCCUUCGGGUUGUAAACCUCUUUCAGUAGGGAAGAAGCGAAAGUGACGGUACCUGCAGAAGAAGCGCCGGCUAACUACGUGCCAGCAGCCGCGGUAAUACGUAGGGCGCAAGCGUUAUCCGGAAUUAUUGGGCGUAAAGAGCUCGUAGGCGGUUUGUCGCGUCUGCUGUGAAAGACCGGGGCUCAACUCCGGUUNUGCAGUGGGUACGGGCAGACUAGAGUGCAGUAGGGGAGACUGGAAUNCCUGGUGUNNCNNNNAAAUGCGCAGAUAUCAGGAGGAACACCGA